rnacentral:rRNA from 1 species
CGGUGACUGCGUACCUUUUGUAUAAUGGGUCAGCGACUUAUAUUCUGUAGCAAGGUUAACCGUAUAGGGGAGCCGAAGGGAAACCGAGUCUUAACUGGGCGUUAAGUUGCAGGGUAUAGACCCGAAACCCGGUGAUCUAGCCAUGGGCAGGUUGAAGGUUGGGUAACACUAACUGGAGGACCGAACCCACUGUCUUUGAAAAGCCAGGGGAUGACUUGUGGAUAGGGGUGAAAGGCUAAUCAAACUCGGUGAUAGCUGGUUCUCCCCGAAAGCUAUUUAGGUAGCGCCUCGGACGAAUACCAUUGGGGGUAGAGCACUGUUUCGGCUAGGGGGUCAUCCCGACUUACCAAACCGAUGCAAACUCCGAAUACCAAUGAGUACUAUCCGGGAGACAGACUGCGGGUGCUAACGUCCGUAGUCAAGAGGAAAACAAUCCAGACCGCCAGCUAAGGCCCCAAAAUUAUAGUUAAGUGGGAAACGAUGUGGGAAGGCAUAGACAGCUAGGAGGUUGGCUUAGAAGCAGCCACCCUUUAAAGAAAGCGUAAUAGCUCACUAGUCGAGUCGGCCUGCGCGGAAGAUGUAACGGGGCUAAAACUAUAUGCCGAAGCUGCA